GAGGAGGAGAGUAGGACUCUUGGUUUAAGGAUGACCUCUCAGGGUCAAGCAGGGUCCUGUCAUGAUGCUGAGAGAGAUACUUAAGAGUUGGUUUGGAAGGAAGUGAUGGCGCUCUCUCAGGAGGCUGAUCACCUAUCAUUUCUUCAAGAAACGUUUGCUCCAUGCGUUCUCUUUGGGCUCGACCUGACUGGAGGGAGCAUUGUAACUCUCUUUGGACAUCUUCAAGUUCUUUGUCUGUCUUUUCUUGCCGUUCUUGACAAAGAAUUAACUGUCUUUGAGCUAUCUGGAGCUGGUGCUGUAAGGUAGAAGUUUGCUUCUCCUUAACUUCAAGAGCUUCAGCACGCACUUUGACCAGUGCUUUCAAAGCUUUUACAUCUUCUGUUGCUUGCUCUAGCAGGGAUUCUGACUGUAUCAGAUCCUCUGUGGUCUUAGCAAGCUGCUUAUUCGUGUCAUCAAGUUCUUUCUCCUUUUUGUAAAGGGUUUCAUUAAGUCUUUCCAUCUUGUCUUUAAGAUCAAGAUUUUCUUCAUGACUUAUCAGUGAGGGAAGCUUUGACGCUUCACAUCUGGCACUGUGUUUUUCUAAAACACUUAGAGACUUCUUAGUCUCUUCUAGCGUCUUUUUCAGAGCGCUGUUUUCUUCUUUUUGCGUCUUUAUCUUUGCUAAAGCGCAUUCCAGCAAGUAGUCUUUAUACUCAAGCUGAGAAGACAUCACGACAGACAUGCGUCUAGUGAGCUCUUUGUCACGAAGUGUCGUGGUUAAGGCUGUUUCCAGUAGGUCAGCCAUUUCAUCCUCCGGAUUGGAGGGUUUGGCCUUUUGAAUCUUAGUCAUGUACUGAGGUAUCAGCUGACUAGUCAAGUUUGCCAACACUGGGUGUAUGUCCCUCAGGGGGUCUCCCUGGCUGGACUCUUUUGUGUUAGGCAUGUUUGGUUUUGGUAAAGAGGUGCAGGUGGUUGGUUGAUGAGUUUGAGUUGACUUAAAAUGAAAGGAAGAAGCAAAAUAUCAAAUUAAGUGGGUUAAUCGACUUAAUUUAUCAGUGCUUGAUAAAGAGGAAGAGCCUAUCUGAGUAGAUCUCUAAUGGAGAGAAAAAUAACAUAAAGUUAAAUUCCUUUCAAUCAAAAUUGAAAAACAAUGAAAUGAUGUUAAAUUAAAUUUAACAUCAGAUACAGAACCAUUGAAUAAAGGGUUCAGUUUGUCUCCGUGUUGCAGAGAUCAGCAAAGCUUAAAUAAACUGCCUGGUGCAGUUGGAUGAAUUUGAAAAAUCAAUGAAAUUGUCAAUUUAAGGAAUUAACUCUAAAGUUAAUUCACAAAUUGCAAUAAAUCCAAAGGUUCAACUACCAAAUCUUUCUGGAAUGUUAAAAGAAAUUUCAAAUAUUAAUUAAUUUGUUCAUUAAUCAAUUAAUCUUAUGAGGAGGGUUAAUACAUUCAUGUAUUAUAGGGAACAGUAAAACUGCUCAAUGGUGUGAUAAGUAACAACAAGAUCAGGUGAUUGAUUCAAGGAGUUACUUUAUCAAUACAUUAUGGGCUCUUAUAACAAAGAUAAGAAUCACAAAUCAAUGAUCAAUGAUUUAGAAUAAGCACAUCAAACUUCAUCAACCAAGUCAAUCACUUGAAUUAUGUCUGUAGAGUGUUACACACUGACUACAGAGAGGCAGAACAGCUGGCUGAUACUGCAGGCAGAUAAUAGCAGUGUUAGCUCAAUACCAAAAGCAACCAUGUGGGGCAGUAUGGAGUUGGGAUAACUGCACAAGCACAACACAAGUGGAGAAGAAGAAGAAAAGAGGAAACAGUCAUCCAACUAGCCUCUUGUGGCUGUGUAAAGUUGGGAAGUAUGAAGGAAGGGCCUUUAGGCUCUGCCUCCUUGAAGGGCCUUAUCUGCUUAAGGCCAAAUGGUCAGUCUCUCCACUGACAACAAAGGGUUAACAUUUCACAGCAGCUGUGUCUGCACCCUCAAACAUAGAACUUUACACCAUCUGCUCAGGCAGAUUGGUUCAAUAAAAUCAUUUACAGGAACAAGAAUCAAAGUGACAAAUUCUUAAACAGCAGAUUCAACUGCAGACUUUAAAAUCACAAAUGCGGCGAUUUGUGAUCACAAAUUUUGUCUGAAUUCAUUCAAACAACAACCUCCCACUGUUACAGUGGUUUCCUGUGACAGGUAGUUAAUCUGUCAGGGGAAAGGAGGAAAUCUGAAUCCCAUAUAGUUACUAGAACUUCGUAGCAGACUAUAGAGACAAGAAUCCAAGUGACAAAUCCCUCAAUAGCAGAUUCAACUGCAAACUUAAAAAAUCACAAAUGCGGCGAUUUGUGAACACAAAUUUUGUCUGAAUUCGAUCAAACAACAACCUCCCACUGUUACAGUGGUUUCCUGUGACAGGUAGCUAAUCUGUCAGGGGAAAGGAGGAAAUCUGAAUCCCAUAUAGUAACUAGAACCUCGUAGCAGACUAUAGAGACUUCAGGGGCUUGAAACCACAGCUCGGAGCAUCGCGAACACUGGGUUCAGCCAAAGGCCUUAAAUACAAGCGUACGGCGACGCAACAAUCGUGCACUUAAAUAUUGGACAGUCUAGACAGAGCAGAAGAGGCAGUCUCACUGCUACUCAGAAAAACAUUUCACGCUGUCCAGCUCAAACACAGACUACAGGCAUGUAGUACAAAAGUGUGUGAAACACAGAGCAUAAAGGUUUUAUGCAUAGAUCAGGAAAACAUCGGAACUUAGUCAAGCAACUUCAGCAAGCAUAGCAUUGAUUGUGAUCAAGUCUAAAACAGCCUGGAAAUAAGUUUCUCUCAUCAAUUUGGAAGGCUAAGUUUUAGGUUGUCUGUUAGUAUCCAGAAGUUUUGUUUGAAACGCCUCACACAGGGGCACCAAAAUAUAUGUAGUGAUUUGAAAUGAGCCUCAUACGGUCGCACCAAAAUAUAUGUAGCGAUUUGAAAUGAGCCUCACAAGGCCGCACCAAAAUAAUACUUGGCGAUUGGAAUUUAUAAUAAAUGUCUGAAGAUUAAUAAUCUCAAAUUAUGACAUUUAUGCACUCGUUGAAAGGGGCACCACCCACCCUUAAUGGUGGGAAAAUAAAGAAAACAAAAGUUUAAUUCAGAAAUCAAACAUCAAGUCAGUUUUAAUUAAUCAGUCUUAAUUAAUCAGUCUUAAUUAAUCAGUCUCAUAUCUUAAGUCGAAAUUCUAAUUUCAGGGACUCCACUUCUGGAAGAACACUAACAGACAGGAACUUAGAAAAAUAAUGAUCUGUUUAUUACAGGAUAAAUGAUGGUACAACACACAUGCAAUAAAUGAUGAUAAGAUAAUGAGGAUAAAAUAAUAAUAGGUGAAUAAAUAAAGAUUCUGAGUCAGGCUAGGAGCACUAAAGUUAAUGAUAGUGAGUGAAUAUGCGCUAACAUAUUAACCUACACUAACUUUAGUGUCGAGAUAAACUCGGAUGUGGAUUUGGAGGAAUCUAAGAUUACCAGAAUAAGAGGAUAUCUGAGUUGAACGCAGGAGACAGCACCAGCCCUCUUUAGAGCUCUGGAGGUUUGCAUACUUAAGUGAGACUGGUCCUUGGAGAAGAUGGAGCAGGUUCCGAAGGUCCGGGGCUACUGGCGGUUCGAGCGGUUCAGCUCAGAAGACGACUGAAGUCAGCCGAAGGAUGAGCCAGGAGUUGCAGCACUCGGGCCCGAAGCAAAAACCAGCGCCUGUGGAUCCUGUGGAUGCUCGUUUGGGUACUUCUUUAGUCUCACUCAAAAACUCUGGCACAGAGGAUGACCUGGGCCUGUUGGAUUGCGUUCGGAGGUGACUUUGAAAUCACGCAGAAAACUCAGAAAAACGAGGCUCGAAGAGCAGAGAAAACUUUCAAAAAUGGCUUCGCGAAAUUAAAGAAAAUCAAUCAAAGGCUUAAUCUUGAAUUGCUAUGUGCACAAAAAGUUGAAGUUUCAAAACUUGAACUAAGACGAUGUUAAAGAAAAAUCAACGUGAAUCAACACGUGGCGUAAAACUUAGAAGACUAAGAAAAAGUUCUAAGAGAAAACAAAGAAACGCACCACAGAAGGGUGUGGGCAGAAGAGAAGGGGCAUAAGAGCCGGGGACAAGAGAGUCAGCAGAAGAGCAGAAGCAUAAGAGAGAUAAGAGACAUAAGAGGGGGAAUAGAGCGUGAGCAACCCCACUCCACUGGUUUUAUCUUCUCACACUGGGAGUGUCUGAGGAGAAAGAGGAGGGGUCGUGGAAUCUCUGAUUAUUUGAUCUAACUUAUUCUUUUGGCUGGUAAAAGAGUCAGAUCUGAUACUCACUCACUAUGAUUAAUAUCAUUGAAUGCUUGGUUUCAUGACAAAUAAUUUGACACUAAACACAUAUGAAUGAAGUGUAGGAUCACAUCAAACAUUCUCAUUAUGUUUAAAGUAUCACAUUGAACAUGCUAAAUUACUCUGAAAUGAAACAGAUAGUAACACAUGGAAACUGUGAACAACAAAAGAGUAAACACAUGUGAAUGAACUUCAUCAUGAUUAAUAAUGGAUUCUAAAUACUCACAUUAAGGUUAUUCAAUGACAUUAUAACCACCUAAUGGUUAAAAAUACUAAAUAAACAACUACAAUAUAAACCAAACAUUUCUAAACUGUCUCUGUUACCUAGAGUUAAGUUAUGAUCCAUAGUCAAUAAAUUUAACUCUUAAAAGUUCAUGAAACAGUCUGAAAAGCUGUUGGUCUAAAGAACUAAAGAAUAAGGAUUUAUUCUGUCAGAUAAGAUAACUUGGCUUCUGAAGCACAUAGAAAAACGGGAAACAUCUCAUUUUAACACAAAUUUCAUGAUUAGACAGAUUAGUACAUUGCUGAAUGCAUAAGAUGUCAUGAUCAGUCAUUUGUAUUCUUUCACCAAAGGAAUGCAGUCUUUAUCAGUGUAUGGUCGAGCAGGGUUUUACGACCGAGGUCUGGAGGUCAGUGUCCCCCCUUUUCCUAGGGUCCGUAUGUUCACACACUUUAAGACACUAAAUCUCAAAUGGGAGAUCUGGGUUGAGACGUUAAUGUUUAUUUAGAUGGUCAGCAAAUGGAGUCAGUUUGAAAGGUAAUAAAACUCUGUCUCUGUUCUCCGAAUUGACCAAUCGUGAAGAGUCGGAGGUUUAGUCAACCUCCGGUUGGGUCACUUAUUUAACCUGAAAGUGUAAACGAGUCUGGAAAGAUUUAUAUCCUGUUUCCUGGGACCAGAUAAGGAACUUUCCUGUGAGGAAUGUGUGGGUUUCACACCCAGGGUUGUCUUGAUUGCUACACCCAUUUUCAUUUGAGCUGAAGAAAACGGAAAUCGGAAAAUGAGCUGUGAUCCGUUUUUUCAUUCUCGUUUUAGAGACAAAUAUUUGAUAAUUAAUUUUCUCAUUUGUUCAUUUUUGGUUUAAUUUUGAAAAUCGAAUGGGUGAAAGAUACAUGAAUUAACACGGGUACUUUUCCUUCAACUUUGCAUGAAGACACACUCAGAGAAAAAAGCGACAGCAGAGCCAGAAUUCGUCUGUGGCACAGUUUGGCAGCUGUAGUUAGCAGUAAAAGUUCAUGUUACAUCACAGCUGAGGUACUUUUUAUCGUUUCAGGUCAGUUUUGGUUUAUUAGUUUCAUAAAUGAGGCCCCUUGCGUGAUCAUCAAGAAGUCCAAAAAUAAGUGCAUCAGUUUCUGCGGAGGCAGAUGGAUGUUACACAGCUUUAUUCACUCUCAACACAAUCACACUCUGGAGACGGACUGAAACACUUGACUGCAGUGAGACAGACUGACGGAGGAGGAAGAGAAAGUACAGCUCGAGUACAGACACAGGUGCCUGCUGAAAAGACUUGAGAGCUUCAAUAAGUAGAGCUCAGGUGUGAACCGGGAGAGCAAUCAGCACAGGUGAAACCACCUGAGCUGACCGACAUGGAGUCAAUUCACAGAGAGAGAGAGAGUGUGAGGUUUGAGGUCGAACAUACACUACAAAUUUUUAAAUGUUGUUGUGGAAAAUAACGUGAACCAUGUACAUACGUGCUCACACAGUUCGACUGUCGGGAAUGAUGGAGCUUUAAAAACACGAGGUAAACUCCCAAACACAAAUACUUCAAUCACUGGAACACAAACAUCAUUUAAAAUCUGCAGAAUCUUCCUUUAAUUUGGAGUGUUGGAUUGGAUUAGGUCUCGAUGUUAGCUUUACUUUAUUACACUUAAGCCGAAUCCCCUCUGUCUAUUGUCUUAAAUUUGGCUUCCAAACACUGCGAAUAUCACUUUCCUCCACAUUGCAGAUGUUUUCUGCAUAAACACCCUCCCACUCUACAUGCAGAGUAUAUUUCUGGGUUUGACAGCUCACACUGACUGAUUUCCCCACAGGGAGCUGCGUUUGUUUCUAAUAUGUAUCUCCAGACAAUCAUUUUCUUUUGUUGUCAGUGUUUUUUUUAAAGAAAAUAUAACAGAAGACAUAAAAGACAAGUACAAUGUGCAACGUUUGGCUCGGGUGAAGUCAUUUCACACGACUUUGCUUCAAAUUGUGUUGCAUAAACUUACAAGACAGAGUCUAUCUCCGUGAUGUUUCUUCAUCUGAGUUUGUUUUGACUGCAGACGGAUACUGAGAUGAAGACUGAAAUAUUUGUUUUCUUCUUUUUGGAGGGGUUGUAAGAUGAGGACAGGCCCCUUUAAUCUGCCAUGUCUCUUCCUGUUACAUUAACCAUCGUUUGCACCCUUCGUUUAGGCGCCAACGGAGAUCUCGGGGAGAUUUUGGAAAACUCUGUUUGCACGUUAAUAGAGAAAAACAGAGAUUUGGAUAGCCAACUGCAGAUUGUGGCUAACGAGGGCUUGAGCUUCUUGCUACACUGCCACCUACAGGUUUGGCAUGCUCUUGCCGGCAUAUAUACAUGGAUUAGUGUUGACAAAACUUUUCUGAAAACGUAGUGGUGUACACACAGUUUUUUUGUGAACGGAGAGGGUGAAAUGUCCGUUUAUCCGUUUGUCCGAAGUGUCUGAAGUUCCUCAGGCUCUGAUUGGUCGUCUAAUGUGGCUCUUUUAUUUGCUGUUCGUAUGCACACGUUAACACUCUCCUUAAAAACAGAGUUCGACCUAUCAGUGUUUAGCCGUUCUUCCACAAUCAGCACUAUCUUCGCCUCAUCGCCCUGCAGCGCCCAGCCUCUAGAGAGCUGUUUUUUCUUUAAGCGUUUUCCCCUCCUGCAGAAAUGCGACUCCUCUUUUCAUACGCAGACUUGAGAUAAACGCAGGAAGCUGGAAAGGAGUAUGGAGUGGGAAGGAAAUGAUUGUAAUUGGCAGACGCUCUGGUUCUGCGGUGGAGGAGAGAAUGGCAGCUUUGUUGUUGUCAAUUGAGAGCCAUUCAUUUGCACCUGUGGGCUUUCAAAGCCCUUAAAAUGGGAAAUUAAUGUCAUUACUCUUAUUCAUGGGAGAUUGCAUUGACUUUACACACACACUGAGGACAUGAAUAGAUUUUUACACACUUGUUGUUGUACUCAGGUGUUGCAGAUCAUGUGUAACAGUGUGGAUUAUGUGCUGCUUUGUCUCUGUUAUUGUAAGAUUUACACAUGAUAUCUAUGCAAAAGACAGUAACACCUAAAUGCUCAUUUUUACUUCAUUUAUUAAGAUUUAUUUUAACAUCUUUAGUUUUUGUUUGACUUGUUUGUAAUUUUCACUCAAUAAUGUUCAAAAAAAUCCACAUAUAGAUAGAUAGAUAGAUAGAUAGAUAGAUAGAUAGAUAGAUAGAUAGAUAGAUAGAUAGAUAGAUAGAUAGAUAGAUAGAUAGAUAGAUAGAUAGAUAGAUAGAUAGAUAGAUAGAUAGAUAGAUAGAUAGAUAGAUAGAUAGAUAGAUAGAUAGAUAGAUAGAUAGAUAGAUAGAUAGAUAGAUAGAUAGAUAGAUAGAUAGAUAGAUAGAUAGAUAGAUAGAUAGAUAGAUAGAUAGAUAGAUAGAUAGAUAGAUAGACUUUAUUGAUCUCAAACUGGGAAAUUCACAAAAGGAGCUGCCCUGCCUCUGACCAUCCAGCGGACAUUUUGCUUUUUGACCGAAAAAAGUCAGAAAUAAGUCUUUUUUUAUUAUAUUUGUCUGUCAACACAACAAUGCAGAAACAGUUUAAAAAGCUCAAAUAAUAAGCAUUAAGACCAGUUAUUGGUGAUAUUGUGUCAUCUGUCAUGCUAGGGCACCACAGUAGAAUAUUAUGUAUGAAGCAGUGAAUUAAAAGCUAUUAAGUGUGGUAGAUUCAUACGCCCUUGAGCGACAGUACGAUAAAGAAGAACAGCCAGGAUGUUUUGUAAACAUUCAGUAAACCAGUAUAGGCAAUUAUCUUGGUGCAUUUUCUAUAUAUGAAAUUAACAACCGCCAUGCAAAAAGUUUAGAUAAUGACAUCAGCGUUUUAGAUUUUGUCAGCCUUUUAAAAAGAAUCUUUAAUUUUCACCUUUGGACAGGAAGUUCGAACGUAGAGGAAGCCUAAGAUUUCAAGAAUCGACAUUUGUUGUCAUGAUUUCUGUUAAUUUAGUUUUUUUUUCCCCUGGUUUUCUUCUUUAAGUGCAUUUUGUGUAUUUUCCCUUGUGUUCCUGUUCCCCUGUAGUCCAGUCUUAAGAGUUUUCAGUUUGUGUUUGACCGUGUUUCCCUCAUGUUCUCUGUGGUUCCUGUUUUAUUUUGUAGUCAUUGAUUCCUUGGCUGUGUCUGAAAUGGAUCCCUAACCCUUACAUAGGCGAUUUUUCUAUGAAAUGACAUUUUAUUGCGAUUGUGUUUGGGAAAACUUGCAAACAAUACGACAUCUUCAUCGAUAUCAGUUCACGCCGAAGCAGACUUUUGCCCCCCUGGUUGCGCACGCAGCUAGUAUUGUUUGUACACAAGAAACCCGUCUAUAGGAUUACAUUACUUUGCAGCAGUUUAGUCUUAUAUGUGAGUCUCUCAGAAGUAAAUAUGAAAGGAAGUUCAACUGCUGCAUCCAUCACUUUGGAGUAAUGUCUCUCAGAGUAAAAUCUUGUUCAGUUUUGAGGAUUUCUUCAAUUACAGUGCAAAAAAUACUCCAAAGAUUUAGAGAAUCAAAAUAAAAAUAAAAAUAAGUUAAAAAAGGGAUAAGACUUUAAGCUUAUAACGAUUUCUGGGCUGUCAAGCAGCACUGCAUUAAAAACAUACAUGACUCUGUAGUAGAAAUCAACGCAUCAGCUCCAAAACACUUCUGAAAACUGCUGAAAACUGUGACCACACAGCCAAGAGGAAACCGUACGAAACACGAUGCAGAAAUGAGUGAGCCCAGAGAAGGUGGAAAAUUUCACUGUGCUCUUUUAAAGUUUGACAUUCCUUCUGGAAAUAAUGGACACUGAAUCCUCCGCUCCCAUGAUAAGAGACCCAGAACUGUUGAUUGGCCAGAAUGGGCCGGCGUGGCACAUUCAAAAUGGUUUCCGUGGCUCCCAAACGCUCAGAGUGGUGUUAAAAAUGAGGUGAUGCAACACAGUGUAAACACUCCUCUGUCCCAACCAUUCAACAUCUAUUCUACAUCCAAGUUUCAGCAUUUUUAAGUUGUCUUUGCACUACUUUUUAAUUAAAUACAGAGUUCCCUUCUCUGCAAACCAUCAAAGUCUUUUUUUAUUAAAUGUGGGUGUUGGGGUUGUAUUUCACCUGCUGUGCUGCGUACUGCACACAUAAAACAGCGACUUUACAGCCUCUGGAGCCUUAAUCUCACGUCCUCAGGUGCGAUUGUUUCAGCUUUAAUAUUACUUAAAUAUCAAAAAGCUGGAGGCUCACGCAUCUGCCUGUCACUGUGAUGAAAAGAAAAGUUCAAAGAUGGAGGAAAGUUAAAGGGAAAUUCCAUUAAAAUGUCUGAUUUGAUUUAUUUGAGUGAUGAUGGAGAGACGCCUCCGCCGGGACUCUUAAUGUAAUUAUAUGCAGAUAAGUUUUCAGAUUUGUGGAGAGCCGAUGUAAAUGUGACUUUUUAUUACAUGAAUAUCACUCCUACUUGAUAUUCUGUCUCCGUUCAUGUGUACGGUGGUUAUUACUAACCGAGUUUCAACUUUUACAGUACCGAGAGGCAUUUUAAGCUUUGAAUUUCUCACUAAAAGCUUCAUCACAUUAAGACAGACUUGGAGCUUUUAGCUGAGAGCAAAAUCUCUUGACAUCCUGAGAUGUUUACCGCAGACCCUACAGCAAAUAAACGGGAGAUGACGCAGCAAUUGAAGCUCCGGCUGCAGUGAAAGAAGCUCUCAGCUGCCCGGGCUCUUCGUGUGUUUUCAGAGUUAUCAUUGCAAAGACAGAAUAAAGCCUGUUUACUUUGAGUCUUCAGGCGCCGGAUCAUGUAGUUGCAUAGCAACAGCCAGAAAUGAAAAAAGGUUGACCUGUGCAUCCUGAGCCUCCUGCCCACCAGCCAGCACCCACUCCCACAAUCACACUGGUAAUGUGUGUACAGUUUGGAAAAAAAAAAAAAAGCUUUUGGGUGGGAUGCUGCAAGUUAUGCAAUGAAUUUAAAGAAAGUACAGCUAAUCCAGUCAAGAAACAGGUCUUAAAAAAGGCAAGUGUAUCUAUUAAACUCCUUUCACACAUGCAACAGAGUCCUGAAAAAUUUCCAGUGUUGAAUAAAGAGGGAAGCCAACCACUGACCCCGUUUACUCCCCCUCUGUGUGGACUUCUGCUGCCAGUCUGCACAAAGUUAGUCCAAAAAGUUUCGUAUCAUUUCUUCAAACUUUUACUGAUAUAUACGACCAAUUAAGUGACGCAGUAAUUCAUUGUGUACACUAAAUGACAGUUUGCACAUGCCAGCAGUCAGCUUUUAUGAUCAUUUUAAAAAGCAAAAUAUCUAUUUGUAAUGCUUGUAAAGUACAGGUGAAGUGAGAAAGAACAAAACAACACUGCUUCAACUCUUCCAUUUUACUCUCUCAACAACUGUCACGCUGAAUCGAAGGAAGAGUUUCUGAAAACCAAAAAAACAUCUGACUUCAGUAAAAACCUGUCAGCAGCUUCUCCUUCUUCUUCUUUAGUCAUUCAACAAAAAAAAGUCACGGAGCUGAUUGUUCUCAAUAACCAGGAUACAGUGCAGAUGAGAGAUGUGGGACUCCUCAGGCUGGGCAGUUUUAGUUGAGUGAGACCGCUGAAGCCAAUUAGAGAGGAAGUCUACGAGGACAUGGAGCAGCUGACGGCUGUUAUCAGUACGAGUAAACAAUCGAGUGCCAGAGGCUGAUAUAAGCUUUGUACUCAAUACUAAAACUGAACGUAGCAUUAGUCGAGGUCGGCCAUGGAAGUUAAGCUCAGCCCGAAAAACAUCAGCUAAUUACAUUUUACGUAUCCAAUAGGGUGUUCAUGUGAACUACUUCAGCCGACCUUCAAGUUACAAAUCGCCUCCAACCUGUCUCCACCCAGCUCCUCCCUUCCAUGCUGUGUCUGAUAUUUUUAGUCAUAAGUUUUGACACAGAUGUCUGCUUUGCUCUGAGGUCUUUGCUGCUGCUCUCCCUGCCUUAGCUUUUAAUAUAUGCACAUAAAACAGAGACGGGGUGUGCUCUCUCUGCUAAAGGAUUGGGAUUUCCAAGUGGAAGAGCAGGGAGAAAAUAUAACUACUGUAUUCAACACCUUUGCUUCUUUGCUCUCCAUUUGUUCAUCCACUUUUCAUGGGAGGGCUCAAACCAAGCGCGAGUAAAAUCAUCUACUUGCUUAAUUCAUGCAAAUCUAGACGCGUGAAUGAAUAGUAUUUACUCGCUUCAUUCGGGUAUCACCGGUAAUUUCAACGGUAAUUCCCGCCAAUUCAACUGGCGGGAUUAAUUGACAAAGACAAAGCUAGGUGUGUGACGACAGUAAGAAGUCUUUUGCAGACAUGUUAAGUGUAUAGCACUAGGAAGUCUCUGGCAUAAAAAAAAACAGUGCAAUAAGAGAAACAUUCUCCAGGGUAACUGAGGGAUGUAGGACUUAGAAUAAGCCCAUCACUUUCCCAUCAUUAGUGUGCAAAGGAUUGGACAAUAUUAACUCCUGUAGGUGACCUCAGACUUUUCAAAUCAACCCUCAGGUGUUCUGACACCAACAUCAGGAGAGGAGCAGCAGAGAAAUCUAAUACUGUGAAGCAAAUCCAGCAUCAAAGAUGCACAAAAAAACCUUUUGAAUCUUGCCCUCAAUAAUAACAGGAUGACAAGAUUUUUGACACGCUCGCUUGAAUAUGUGCCCUCAUAACAGGCAUCAUCAAAUGUGUCUCAUUCCAACUUCAUGAUCGUGACCUGCAAGGUCGACAGGAACACACCCAGAAAUCUCCACUCCGCUGAUUUGGUUUAAUGUAUGACUGUAAUUAUCUCCUCCAUGUCUCUCCUCUCAGGACGGAUCACUGCGCUGAUUCAUCUGAUGCAACACUCAGAGCGAGCUGUCAGUGAGAUAUAGAGAGGCAAUAACAGACUAUUAAACCGUUCUCAAGACCAGACACUGAUUUCAGUCUGAGCUCUUAGUCUCAUGUCAUAAAAGUUUUAGAGUUUCUGUACCCCUAAGCUGUUCUUUAUAUUGUUGUCUGCUUCAUCUAUCAAGAAACAACACAGAACUAAAUAAACAAAAAACAAUAAGAUGAUUUUCCUCCGAGGUACAAACUGUAAAAUUAAAACUUUGUGUCCUCGGUGGAAAGAGUGAAUGAGCUGCAAGGCAAACAAUGAACAAAACUUUCCUUCAAACAGUAACGCAAACUAAUUAUCAGUGUCUUAAUCUUUGUUCAAACCAAACCCAAUCCCACCCAAUCCUAAUCCAACUAGACCCAAACCAAUCCAUCCAAAUCAAAUCAAAUAAAAUCCAACACAAUCCUAUUCAACACAAUACAGUCCUAUCAAUGCGAUCCUAACCAUGCAAGAUGAUACCAGUCCAAUUCAACCAAAUCAAUCCAAUCCAGGCAAUCCCAUCGUAUCUAAUCCAGUCUGAUCCAACCAAUCCCAUCCAAUCAAAUCCUAUCCCAUCCAGUCCAAUCCUAAUCCGAUCUGAUCUAACCCAACCCAUCAAAACCUAAUCCAACUAGACCCAAACCAACCCAUUUUAAUCAAAUCAAAUACAUUUUUAUCCAACUUAUUCCAACUAACCAAAUCCAAUACAACCCAUCAAUGCACUCCUAAUAGUGCUAACUGAAACAAGUUCAAUCCAACUAAAUCAAUCCAAUCCUGACAAUCCCAUCAGAUCCAAUCUGAUCCAAACAAACCAAAACCCAGCCUUAUCCAGUCUAACCCAAUCCAAUCCAAUCCAAUCCAAUCCAAUCAAUCCCAUCUAGUCCAAUCCAAAUCAAAUAAUCCAUUCAUGCCAAUCUUAUCUAAUCAAAUGGGUUUGGUUAAAGCAGUCUAGCACAUCCCACCCUCAGCUGUGAAGUGUUUUUGAGUUUUGACUUUGGUGACCCUUCCUUUUUACCGUCCUUGGUAACAGUGUGGUAACUAACCUAACUCUACAGUUAACAACAUAAUUAUCAACAAAAAACUACAGCUAUAGUUUUAAGAGAACCUCCACUUCCACUCAACAAUUCAGCUAAAUAAUAGGAAAUUAUGUUGAAGUUCUGAUCGUUUGAUAUAGUCGCCACUGAAAUUCACUUACUGUAUCUUUAAAAACUCUUUUAAAUGAAUCUCAUGGAGCAGAUGUGCUUUGAUUCUACCUCUGCAGCUGUCUACACUCUCACUCCUUACUUACAGUUAUGCGCUUAUAUCUGCUAUUGUAGUAACUCCUAUAGUUUUACUCUGUUGGCUUUAUUUAUACAGUAUAUAUAAAUGUGUAGCUUUGUAUUGUGGUGAAUAGUUAUCUAAACAACAGUUCUGCGACUGAAUGCAGCUUGCUGGAGGCCUGAAUGUGCUGCUGCAGACAUUCAUAUCACACCCACAUACUGUAUACAUGGACAAACACACACACACACACACACAUAUAAAGAUGUACAAUAACCGUGCAGGGGAAAUUGAGAGCUCAAGGCUGGUUUACAGCCUCAGAGAAAAACAAACAAAUUACAUUAAUUAUAAAUAUUAAGGCAUACAAAAGCAAUUAAAGCCCACAUUACUUCUCAGUGUCUGAUCCCAGAGGAUAAGAUUCAUAAGGGAAAGCUAAUUUCCAUACUUGACCCUGUAUUAGGAUGCAAUAUCUUACUUUAUUUUACACCGCUGCAAAAAUAAUCACAUCUUUCUUAACUUUUAAUGCACUUUGUUCCAAACUCUCCCGAGAAUAAGACUAUUUCUUUCCCGACAGAGUUUCAGACAGACUUUGUGGAAGCGGAAAUGAAAGAUUUACCAGCAGAUAAUCACUAAUAAAAGCCUGCAGGCUGAUAAAAUAACCUUUAAAGUAAGAGUCCAGAUUGGAAAUAGGAAUCUUAGAAAAAUACGACUAUGUUCAGAAACACUGAACCAUCAUUUGGGGAUGAUGCUGCACACAAGGCAAUCUGACAUAAUUUCCUGGUUAUUAGCCAGAGAUAGUUCCAUUAAAUGACUCUGAAUUGUGUGUCAGGGGAUUUUCCAGCAUGCAAUGAACUGAUACAAUGCACAGUGAUGGAGGAGGAAAACACACUGCAGAAAGGUCAUUAUUCAACCAUUUCUUCAAAUUAUUCUCUUUGAGCGUGCAGGUAUUAUUCAGCUCUGUUCAGCCGUGAUUUCACCCCAAUUUCCUUCCUCUUUUGUUGUACUUUCUUUCUUUAGUUAUGCUUUUCUAAAACAAGGAUUUAGUAUUUUGGAAAACAAGCAAACAAUAUAAGGGAAAAAAUGCACGCAGAGAAGAAUAGGAGAGGAAAAUAGGAUUGCAUGGCUUUCAAAGAUAAUAACAUCCUUUUAUGAGUUGCAUGGCACAUCUGAAUUGCCAGCCAGGAUAGCGCAUUUAUUAAAAAAAACACUUUCAGACUCUUUCAGUUUACCCUCAUAAGAAAGAGAGAGAGAGAGAGAGCGCAACAUUUCACCAAGAUUAGCAAAUGGCAGCAGCCUUGGGGAGCAAUUAUUUCAUGGGAAGUCGAUAACACAUUUGGCCCGGCUUCAAUAAGUCAAUACGCUUACAUCACUUCACUCAAGUGCCUGAGAGCCGUCUCCUCAGGUGUCAAUUUUUGAUCAAAGCAGCCUCACAGAUUUUAACUAAACCAGGUCACCUCUUUCUCACUUUAUCUCCACUCCUCACACUUUUUUUUUUUUUUUUUGUACCUCCCAGAAACUCGGCAUCCUGGUCCAAACAGUUACAUCAUCCUCCUCACAGUCUCCCGUUUGCAUUCUUUGAUUUUCUCCGUGUGUGUCUCGUGUUGGAAAUGUAAAAGCCUGCAUCCUUAUUUGCAUAAGAUGUAGGAACCGGAGCGGUGCAUGCAUGCAUGUAAAAGCUUUGAUGUUCUGGAUGUCCCCUCCCACAGUAAAUCUCUGCCUCUGUGAUAAUCAUGAGUGCUCAUGUGAGAUGUGAUUGCAAAACAGCUCCAGAAAUAAGACCCGUUUGGGAACACAGAUGUUGGUGAAGACUUUAUAUCAUUAGAAUUUGUGGCAGCAAAUGGCCAAUAUACAGCUAUGGCUUCCUACUAAUUUCACUGACGAUAACCCCAUCAGCGAGCAAUAAAAACACUGGGCAAAAUGAGACGAGGAUUGUUUCAGUCGUCAGCUUCAUUCUUUAUUUAGCAGAGUGGGGCUGUUCAAUUGGAUUUUCAGCUCGGCCUUAUUUGUAGAACACGACAGUCAAGCAGGUCAGUCAUAUAUAGUCAACCAUAUGCAUUUAAACAUGUUAUUUUUUUCACACUUUCGGCCAUGUAUUUUGCAGAUGCACAUCGAAGUGCAUGAACAUCUUUAAACCAGAAGUCGGUGUUAUCAUCGCACAGAGUCACUUAAUCCACUUUGGCCUGCAUGAAUCCUCUCACUGUUUCAGAGUCUGUGAUCAGACGCCAAGAGCCAUGACACACAAGAAGCUGCUGUGACUCUCCUGGCCCGUGCAGGACCACACCGAGGUCUUGAAAGUCUUGACCGAGACUGCAUUGUAUUCUUUAAAUACUGCAAAGCACUCACUGCGUAAGGUGAGUUGGUUUUGCUUUUGGAGUCGACAGUAAGACAAAUUUUAUAUGACGACAGAAGCGUGUCCACCUCUGCAACAGUAAGCGCCUUUUAGCUUGUUACCAUUGGGUCAUCUCCCGGCUGACAUGUUUCAUGCACUAGCACAAGGUUACCAGGACAUUAUUUUUACAGCUCUUGGCCGUUCCUUACGUUAGUUUCUUCUUUUUUUUUUUUUAGACAGAGUAAAUUUAUCUCCAACUGCACUAUCCAGGUAUGUUUACGUGAAUCUGAGAGUUCGAUUUUAGUGCGAUUCCAGUCGUAACCCCGGAUUUCCACCACAUCCGGAACGGCUCCGAUCUGGAACAGCUGCAAUUUUCGCCGUCUGCCACUUCCCACCGGAUCAGUUUGUGAGGCAAAUUUCAUGGCAGAUUACAGACAGCGUGAAUCACGAGAACUCACAAGAACCCGCGGAUUCAUGUGCAAUCACGCAAUAAUGAGUUGUCUCCAUAAAGACAGCCACAGACACAUAACCAUAUGAGCAGUAGAUUGUGUCCUUCCAGAGGAGGAAAUCCCCUUCUAGACUUUUAGAACCAGCAUCUCCUCAUCCAUGGUGUCAUUGGGCUGAAAUGAUGUCCAUAAACCUUUCACUUGUUCGUCCUGCCCGUUUACAUGGUGUGAAAUACGAUCCGCCUGAAACAUGGAGUGUUUUAUUCUGAAAAGAAGCCGGAUGUUUUAUUUUGUGGAGUCCGGCAAUUUGCAGUAAAACGGAAAGAAGCCGGUGGAAAUUGACACAUUGACUUGAAUGGUUAUGAUCAGCUAUGAUUGGCGGAUAUAGCCUUUUCGUAGCCAUUCUGGAUGCGGUGGAAAUUGGGGGUCAAUAUGCAUUUGAAACAUCAGCAAACCCAUGGUUUCCACAGUAUCUACUGGUUAAACUUGUUUAAUUGCUGUGACUUUAGUCCAUCUUGUCGAAUCAUGUAAAUUUGACGUUCUUUUUAUCCGAGCUGAUUUCGCCUUUUUUCACACUGCUGUCGGAGUUUCUUGGCCUUCGUGAAACAGCGCUCAGCAGACGGUCUAAAGCGUCUCUCAUUCAUGCGCUGACUCACAUGUUUGUAACCCUCAGUAGUUUUGUUUGUUGGACGAUGAAGCAUUUCACCUCUUUGCUGCUUUCAUCUCUGAUGAGUAUAUCAUGACAUUAUCAUAAAAAUAAUAUAUAAUAAACAAAAAUGCAUUUCAGGGGACUCUUUCAUCCGCUGUUGUAACCAUGACAACGGCUGCCACAUUUGGCUGAAAGAGGCCAGAUUACGGGGUAACUCUUUCAGCUGAAUCACAAGCCUCCUAUUAUGUAAAGUGCGGCCGCUGCACAUGACAUUUGUUUACCUGAGCAGUGAGGAAAUGAGGCUGUGACACAAUGACUUCAAAACAGCCUUGAGGUGAUGUGUGCUUUCGCCUGCUUUACAGUACAUGUACAGUGCAUGUAGUACAGUAACAUGACAAGAAAACACACCAAGGGAAAAAUACAACCAUGUAUUAUUUUCUUUAAGUAAAGCCAAAGAGCCAUACAUGUGAAAACAGUUUAAAGUUUCUUACUCUAUGAAAAGAAACUGGAGUAUUCGCCUCGAUCGUGUCUUUCUGAUUACUAUUGUUGUACAAUAAUUUGCUCCCCGAUGAAGGACUGUCAGAGUCUGAGCAAAGAUGAUUUAAUUUCCUGCAGCAGCUGAGCAUAAAAAACUUUUAUAUCUUCACAGAUUUGUUGAUAAAUUAUGUAUGCAUUCGUCAACAUUUAUCUGACAUUUAUGGUAAGUGUUCCUCAUGCAACAGCUGGAGUCAAAAUCCCAUUUUCCACUCAGGAUGAUACAUUCAACAGGGAUAUUACAAAGCCAAAUACAUACCAUGUAUAUGUGAUGAUGAAAUUGUGGUUUCAUGGUUCAGCGAGAGCUAAAGUAGGACGUGUCUGCUAGAACACAUAAAGCAGAGCCCUCUCAGGGCCUCUCAGGAGGGAGAAUUUGUUAUGCAUCAGGAUGAUUUGUCAUAAGCUGAGCAGGGUGUAGGCGGAUUAUGUCUUUGAGGAUCCAUAUGCAGGAGAUGAGAGGAGAAUAUAGAGUGGGUUUGUUCAGGAGUGGGAAAAAUUGAGAUUCCACUUGUUGUGAAAUAGUUCUGCUAAAACCCUUGACUUCAUGUGCGCUUAUGGAAACGUCUGGUUCACAUUAGAGUGGUGUCAUUUUCAUGUGCAUAAAGAAAGAGAUGUGUUUGUGCCGCUGAAAAGAAUAAAAUACAUAUUUAAUGGAAGGCAGCUAUUGUGUGGCGUGAAAGAGCGGUCUCUGGGUGGAUGUCACUGAGAUUGAGUGACGCCGAAUUCGCCUUCAUCACCUGUCAGACGAUACUUUGGGGCAAAAAUGUGAAACUAUAUUUAGCUGGAAGGUGACAGGAUGAAUGAGUGCGGGAAUUGGACUGUCAGUGUCAGAGCUGCACAUUGAGCUGCCUGACAGGUUUUACAUUUAAAAUGGUAAUUUCACAUCAAGCUAAAUGAGAAGAGGGGGCCGGAUUUAAAACCUCGACCUGCUGCAGGAUUUUAUAUUUAUAGGACCUGAUGCAGAGAACCACUUAAGCUGUUUGACUCGGAAGUAUUUAACAACCACAACUGUGAAUGUAGGCUAGAUCACAAUUGAUUUGCUGGUAUGCCUAUUCAUUUUUCUUGUUUUUCAUGUUCAUAUGACAUUUUUCUGAAGCUACAGGACAUAUCAUGAGAAACGUUAAAUACAAGUUUACAUUUCUGAGUAUUUCUUCAUUCAAAUCUCUGUGAAUCUCUGGCAGACCCAAACAGCAGAUUCAAAAACAGUGAGAUUUUCUAUGUCACAAAUCCAAGCUCCGCCUCUCAAGCCCCGCUAUGCAGGCCAGACUCAGAGAAUUAGAGAGGACGAUCGCAGAACAAGCAUGUGCGUUAGCAGAUUGCAAUGCUCGUAAGAAAGCCAAUUAUGAUCUUAACUUUCAUCAUGUCCCCAAAGACAUUAGUGUCUUACCUGCCACUUCUGCUGCACAGGCAAUGUUAGGCUACAAGCUAGCAUGAAGAGGAGUGUACAGAGCAGCGCUGUCUCCGCCCACGACUCAGAAGGAAGUUGCUAAUGAGCUACUGGAGCUCUGCAGAAGAAAAGUUCUUGAAAACGACACAGGGAACGAGAUUUUUUGGAGAAACUUCAUAAUCACAAUUUAAAGACACUUUGAAUAGUAAAAAAAAAGAUCGGAGUGGAACUUUAAUGUUAAUUCUCACAAGAAACAAGAAUCAGAUCACUUCUCAAACCACAAUCCACAUCUGGGAUCUGUGAGUAGACGUUGCACCUGUAUGAACUUUAAGUUUUGUUGUCAUCAGGGUUAAAUGAACUUUUUUGAUCACCAGCCAAUCAGAAUUUCCACAUUUGGUUUUUUCUUUUACAUACAUGAGGCGAUACUGACAAAACAUGAUGUUACUUUCAUGAUCAAACACAAGCCAUUCACGACCCGUCAGCCAUUUAAUGUUAAACUUUCUUUUUUUCGUUUCGCACGCUCUGUUGCUGAUAUCCUCAUCUCCUCCCUCCAUCCUCUUCUCACCCCAGCUCGUCUGUCCUAAGUUCAACCACCGCCACAUUAAGUUUAGCUUUAUUCUAGCUGAUCUGUUUUUACGAAACUCCCUGCUCUCUACACUGUAGACUGUAGAGGGAAAUACCGGCAUUCGUGCAGCCAAUAUAAAACGUCAUUAAGUAGCAUUACAGCGCAGUAUUUAUGGGACCGAGAGCAGAACCUCAGUAGAGCAUAUAUGACCGACACGACUGCCUCAUGCAUCACCGGCCAAACUGGCUAGGAACUUUUUAUUAACACUCGCCAAAAAGAAUUUUAACCCGCAUUUGGGGGGUUGGCGGGUCUUAAUUUAGAACCCUGGUUGUCAUGGGGUUUAAUCUGUGAAGUUAAAGCUAAUCUGUUCAGAAGAGUUCAGCUGGUGAAAUGAUCAUUGUUAGCUGAUCAAGUACGAAGCCAUUGCCGUUGUGAAAUGUUCUUUACUUCUUCAAUAAAUGAACCCUUCAGUGGUGUAGAUCUGCUUCUCAGUCCCUAAACUUCUCCCACGGUUUCCCCACAAACAAACUCUAAGACCACAUGGCGACCUGCUCAUCUUGAGUUCGAGUUGAAGACAGACACCUCUGCUUUUAUCGGUGGUGGCGUCCAAUUGAACUGGAAUAAGGCUGGGUAAUUGCACUUUUCUUUCAUGUUGGGUCUGUUUGGAUUCUGAGACUGAGGAGGAUUUCUCUGCCUCCAGCUGACGCCCACGCUCCAAAAGCUCAUCUCUGUGAUAAAACAAAAAAAAAGAAAAAUACUCUUCAUUACAUCAAAUGCUCCUGUGACCAUCCUCACUCCAGAAGAGGAAGAAGGUGGGAGGAUUUAAGACUUCAGGUUAUUAAUAAUAUCUUCUUUAAUGAGUUACGUUUCGCUUUUUCUCUCCAGACUCUGAACCUUUGAGAAAUGUCAGUAGAUGUGUGCAGAUCUGAACAUUUGCUCUUAACACGUCUGUGUGUCUGAAAGCAAAGUUAACGUGGAGGUGUCCAGUUUUUGGAGAUCCUCAGACGUGCAGGACAGGCUCUGCUUUUUGUUUGAAAAGAAACUGCUGACAUUUAAAGUAAGAUUGCUGUCAGAGAGUCUGGAAACAGUUUUAUUUGGAAGUUUACAGCAAGCAAAAGUAGGUUAGGAAUCUGUGGGGACUUUCUCAGAGGUCUACAAGUGUCAGAAACAAACUUGUGAGUCUCUGUUCUCGUUUCUGUGCACCGUUUUAUUGUUUGGCAGAAACUUAUUUAUCAGAGUUCAACAAUGCAAACCUGAACUAGAUAUUACCGUCAAAUCCAUCUCAUAUUUUCUGACUGGCAUCCAGCAAACACAACCUGAGAUGUAAUUAUGUACUGAUUAUUCCUGAUAAUUAAAACAUUAAUGUGCUUAUUUUUGUGCUUUUACAGAUAAGAAAAAGAUAAGCAGGUAUCUGGAGCCUAAUAUAUCUCUAUCAAACUGCUGUCCACAACAUGAGCUCCUUUAAUCUAAAAGCUGGACUCUGCUGAUCCCUCCAAAAUGAGUUUGACCUGCAGAAAGUCUGCACCCCACACUGUUGCAGAGGAAAAUCCAUACUACGCUUAUCUCGGUGCAUGAGCAGGAAAUGGACUAUUUUAAAGAAGAAAUCACAGCUUCUCUGUCAAUAACCAGAACAUUUAGUCUGGAAUUCAGGACCUGUGUGAAAUAAAACAAAAAUAUUAUAACUCAGCUUCCAGGAAUAAAGAACCAGGUAUUUUCUUGGAUUGCCAAAAGCUGACUGACAUGUUUUUGUCCCUAAGCAAUAAGGUGCUGAACAAAAAAAUUGACAGACUUCCAGGCAUUUGUUAAAGUAUUAUUUGUACCAUCAUUAUUUUGUUGCUUUAUAAACUGUUAAUGAUAAUAUUUAAGGUCUCCUCGGAGAAAGGCAGUGUCUGCAUGGCAGCAUAUGUUGAAUACUGCAUUCUCAGAUGAGUCUGUACCCGUGUCAUGGACACUUAUGCAUCACUAAACCAUUAAGGGUGCUGGCUUUGAACUCAUGUGGGCUGAUAACAAGCUGGACUGUCCCUCGACUGUUUAGAGCAGAAGGUGGUCUGUCAACUUUUCAUUCACGAGACCAUGUAUUUUCAUCAUGUUUUUAUCUGGUUAUCUAUGUUAGUUUGGUUUUUGCAUGAAAUUACUCUUCAUGCAAAAACUAUUUUUUUAAUGACUGUAAAUUAACGACUAUGGAGCUAUAGAGGUCAACAGUUUAGUGGGACUAUAACACGCAGCAGGUCCCGUUUGACAUGAAACACUUCUGUUACAGACACUUGUCUUACUUUGUUAAAGCAGUUUACCUGUCCAACAGAAAGGUUACAGGGUCAUGAAGAUCCUGAAGCAUUCCCCAUUGUUUGUGUUAGCGUCACUGAUGUUGAACCGGCUUUUUCGCUCUUGUCCGGUCUACCUUCUUGUUAAGCGCCCGUUAUUCAGCCAGAGUCUCCGGUAUUUAGUUUGUUUUCUUGCUUGUGUUGGCAGUCAUGGCUAAAGGAGGAUUCAGACGAUCUUCCGAACUUUAUGGUUGGUUUCUACUGUCCGAUAUUGUUGCACGCUAACUUUGUUUGGGGGAGCAGCGUCUGCCUCACAACCAAUCAGGUCAAGGAGGUGGAGAACGGCUUUGUUUACAGUCAGAAAGAGCGGCCUGCUCAAAAAUUUUAAUAUGUUUACUACACAGACAUAAGAAAACACAGUGAUAUCAGGAUAUUCCCAAAUGUCAUCAAUAACUAAUAGCUAUUGACUGAUAUUAAAAGCUUUUUUGUAUAUAAACCACGAAAGAAGAUGCUUCUCUAACGGAAUCUUGCCUACCCCACCUUUAAGCACCUUUGCACAGAUAACAACUUAAAACCACUUGUAGCAAUCAAGACAACCCUGGAUGUGAAACCCACACAUUCCUCACAGGAAAGCUUCCUUAUCUGGUCCCAGGAAACAGGAGAUAAAUCUUUCCAGACGUGUUUGCCCUUUCAGGUUAAAUAAGUGACCCAACAGGAGGUUGACUAAACCUCUGACUCUUCACGAUUGGUCAAUUCGGAGAACAGAGACAGAGUUUUAUUACCUUUCAAACUGACUCCAUUUGCUGACCAUCUAAAUAAACAUUAACGUCUCAACCCAGAUCUCCCAUUUGAGAUUUAGUGUCUUAAAGUGUGUGAACAUACGGACCCUAGGAAAAGGGGGGACACUGACCUCCAGACCUCGGUCGUAAAACCCUGCUCGACCAUACACUGAUAAAGACUGCAUUCCUUUGGUGAAAGAAUACAAAUGACUGAUCAUGACAUCUUAUGCAUUCAGCAAUGUACUAAUCUGUCUAAUCAUGAAAUUUGUGUUAAAAUGAGAUGUUUCCCGUUUUUCUAUGUGCUUCAGAAGCCAAGUUAUCUUAUCUGACAGAAUAAAUCCUUAUUCUUUAGUUCUUUAGACCAACAGAUUUUCAGACUGUUUCAUGAACUUUUAAGAGUUAAAUUUAUCGACUAUGAAUCAUAACUUAACUCUAGGUAACAGAAACAGUUUAGAAAUGUUUGGUUUAUAUUGUAGAUGUUUAUUUAGUAUUUUUAACCAUUAGGUGGUUAUAAUGUCAUUGAAUAAUCUGAAUGUGAGUAUUUAGAAUCCAUUAUUAAUCAUGAUGAAGUUCAUUCACAUGUAUUUACUCUUUUGUUGUUCACAGUUUCCAUGUGUUACUAUCUGUUUCAUUUCAGAGUAAUUUAGCAUGUUUAAUGUGAUACUUAAAACAUAAUGAGAAUGUUUGAUGUGAUCCUACACUUCAUUCAUAUGUGUUUAGUGUCAAAUUAUUUAUCAUGAAACCAAGCAUUCAAUGAUAUUAAUCAUAGUGAGUGAGUAUCAGAUCUGACUCUUUUACCAGCCAAAAGUAUAAGUUAGAUCAAAUAAUCAGAGAUUCCACGACCCCUCCUCUGUCUCACACACACGCCGGAGCCACUCCCAGUGUGAGAAGAUAAAACCAGUGAAGUCGGGUUGCUCACUCUUUUUAUUCCUCUUAUCUCUUACUCUCUCUUAUGCUUCUGCUCUUCUGCUGACUCUCUUGUCCCCGGCUCUUAUGCCCCUUCUCUUCUGCCCACACCCUUCUGUGGUGCGUUUCUUUGUUUUCUCUUAGAACUUUUUCUUAGUCUUCUAAGUUUUACGCCACGUGUUGAUUCACGUUGAUUUUUCUUUAACAUCGUCUUAGUUCAAGUUUUGAAACUUCAACUUUUUGUGCGCAUAGCAAUUCAAGAUUAAGCCUUUGAUUGAUUUUUCUUUAAUUUUGCAAAGCCAUUUUUGAAAGUUUUCUCUGCUCGAGUCUCGUUUUUCUGAGUUUUCUGCGUGAUCUCAAAGUCACCUCUGAACGCAACCCAGUAGGCCCAGGUCAUCCUCUGUGCCAGAGUUUCUGAGUGAGACCAAAGAAGUACCCAAACGAGCAUCCACAGGAUCCACAGGCGCUGGCUUUAUUUCGGGCCCGAGUGCUGCAACUCCUGGCUCAUCCUUCGGCUGACUUCAGUCGUCUUCUGAGCUGAACCGCUCGAACCGCCAGUAGCCCCGGACCUUCGGAACCUGCUCCAUCUUCUCCAAGGACCAGUCUCACUUAAGUAUGCAAACCUCCAGAGCUCUAAAGAGGGCUGGUGCUGUCUCAUGCGUUCAUAACUCAGAUAUCCACCUAUUUCUGGUGAUCUUAGAUUCCUCCAAAUCCACAUCCGAGUUUAUCUCGACACCAAAGUUAGUGUAGGUUAAUAUGUUAGCGCAUAUUCACUCACUAUCAUUAACUUUAGUGCUCCUAGCCUGACUCAGAAUCUUUAUUUAUUCACCUAUUAUUAUCUAUCUUCAUUAUCUUAUCAUCAUUUAUUGCAUGUGUGUUGUACCAUCAUUUAUCCUGUAAUAAACAGAUCAUUAUUUUUCUAAGUUCCUGUCUGUUAGUGUUCUUCCAGAAGUGGAGUCCCUGAAAUUAGAAUUUCGACUUAAGAUAUGAGACUGAUUAAUUAAGACUGAUUAAUUAAGACUGAUUAAUUAAAACUGACUUGAUGUUUGAUUUCUGAAUUAAACUUUUGUUUUCUUUAUUUUCCCACCAUUAAGGGUGGGUGGUGCCCCUUUCAACGAGUGCAUAAAUGUCAUAAUUUGAGAUUAUUAAUCUUCAGACAUUUAUUAUAAAUUCCAAUCGCCAAGUAUUAUUUUGGUGCGGCCUUGUGAGGCUCAUUUCAAAUCGCUACAUAUAUUUUGGUGCGACCGUAUGAGGCUCAUUUCAAAUCACUACAUAUAUUUUGGUGCCCCUGCGUGAGGCGUUUCAAACAAAACUUCUGGAUACUAACAGACAACCUAAAACUUAGCCUUCCAAAUUGAUGAGAGAAACUUAUUUCCAGGCUAUCCUAGACUUAAUCACAAUAAAUGCUAUGCUUGCUGAAGUUGCUUGACUAAGUUCUGAUGUUUUCCUGAUCUAUGCAUAAAACCUUUAUGCUCUGUGUUUCACACACUUUUGUACUACAUGCCUGUAGUCUGUGUUUGAGCUGGACAGCGUGAAAUGUUGUUCUGAGUAGCAGUGAGACUGACUCUUCUGCUCUGUCUAGACUGUCCAAUAUUUAAGUGCACGAUUGUUGCGUCGCUGUACGCUUGUAUUUAAGGCCUUUGGCUGAACCCAGUGUUCGCGAUGCUCCGAGCUGUGGUUUCAAGCCCCUGAAGUCUCUGUAGUCUGCUACGAGGUUCUAGUAACUAUAUGGGAUUCAGAUUUCCUCCUUUCCCCUGACAGAUUAGCUACCUGUCACAGGAAACCACUGUAACAGUGGGAGGUUGUUGUUUGAUUGAAUUCAGACAAAAUUUGUGUUCACAAAUCGUCGCAUUUGUGAUUUUAAAGUCUGCAGUUGAAUCUGCUGUUGAGGGAUUUGUCACUUUGAUUCUUGUCUCUAUAGUCUGCUACGAAGUUCUAGUAACUAUAUGGGAUUCAGAUUUCCUCCUUUCCCCUGACAGAUUAACUACCUGUCACAGGAAACCACUGUAACAGUGGGAGGUUGUUGUUUGAAUGAAUUCAGACAAAAUUUGUGAUCACAAAUCGCCGCAUUUGUGAUUUUAAAGUCUGCAGUUGAAUCUGCUGUUUAAGAAUUUGUCACUUUGAUUCUUGUUCCUGUAAAUGAUUUUAUUGAACCAAUCUGCCUGAGCAGAUGGUGUAAAGUUCUAUGUUUGAGGGUGCAGACGCAGCCUGCUGUGAAAUGUUAACCCUUUGUUGUCAGUGGAGAGACUGACCAUUUGGCCUUAAGCAGAUAAGGCCCUUCAAGGAGGCAGAGCCUAAAGGCCCCUUCCUGCACACUUCCCAACUCCUCACAGCCACAAGAGGCUAGUUGGAUGACUGUUUCCUCUUUUCUUCUUCUUCUCCACUUGUGUUGAGCUUGUGCAGCUAUCCCAACUCCAUACUGCCCCACAUGGUUGCUUUUGGUAUUGAGCUAACACUGCUAUUAUCUGCCUGUAGUAUCAGCCAGCUGUACUGCCUCUCUGUAGUCAGUGUGUAACACUCUACAGACAUAAUUCAAGUGAGUGACUUGGUUGAUGAAGUUUGAUGUGCUUAUUCUAAAUCAUUGAUCAUUGAUUUUUGAUUUUUAUCUUUGUUAUAAGAGCCUCCAUAAUGUAUUGAUAAAGUAACUCCUUGAAUCAAUCACCUGAUCUUGUUGUUACUUAUCACACCAUUGAGCAGUUUACUGUUCCCUAUAAUACAUGAAUGUAUUAACCCUUCUCAUAAGAUUAAUUAAUUAAUGCACAAAUUAAUUAAUAUUUGAAAUUUCUUUUAACAUUCCAGAUGGAUUUGGGUAGUUGAACCUUUGGAUUUAUUGCAAUUUGUGAAUUAAUUUCAGAGUUAAUUCCUUAAAUUGACAAUUUCAUUGAUUUUUCAAAUUCAUCCAACUGCACCAGGCAGUUUAUUUAAGCUUUGCUGAUCUCUGCAACACGGAGACAAAUUGAACCCUUUAUUCAAUGGUUCUGUAUCUGAUGUUAAAUUUAAUUUAACAUUAUUUCACCUUGUUUUAUUUCAAUUUUCAUUGAAAUGAAUUUAACUUUAUGUUAUUUUUCUCUCCAUUAGAGAUCUACUCAGAUAGGCUCUUCCUCUUUAUCAAGCACAGAUAAAUUAAGUCGAUUAACCCACUUAAUUUGAUAUUUUGCUUCUUCCUUUCAUUUUAAGCCAACUCAAACUCAUCAACCAACCACCUGCACCUCUUUACCAAAACCAAACAUGCCUAACACAAAAGAGUCCAGCCAGGGAGACCCCCUGAGGGACAUACACACAGUGUUGGCAAACUUGACUAGUCAGCUGAUACUUCAGUACAUGACUAAGAUUCAAAAGGCCAAACCCUCCAAUCCGGAGGAUGCAAUGGCUGACUUACUGGAAACAGCUUUAACCACGACACUUCGUGACAAAGAGCUCACUAGAUGCAUGUCUGUCGUGAUGUCUUCUCAGCUUGAGUAUAAAGACUACUUGCUGGAAUGCGCUUUAGCAAAGAUAAAGGCGCAAAAAGACGAAAACAGCGCUCUGAAAAAGACGCUAGAGGAGACUAAGAAGUCUCUAAGUGUUUUAGGAAAACAUAGUGCCAGAUGUGAAGCGUCAAAGCUUCCCUCACUGAUAAGUCAUGAAGAAAAUCUUGAUCUUAAAGACAAGAUUGAAAGACUUAAUGAAACCCUUUACAAAAAGGAGAAAGAACUUGAUGACACGAAUAAGCAGCUUGCUAAGACCACAGAGGAUCUGAUACAGUCAGAAUCCCUACUAGAGCAAGCAACAGAAGAUGUAAAAACUUUGAAAGCACUGGUCAAAGUGCGUGCUGAAGCUCUUGAAGCUAAGGAGAAGCAAACUUCUACCUUACAGCACCAGCUCCAGAUAGCUCAAAGACAGUUAAUUCUUUGUCAAGAACGGCAAGAAAAGACAGACAAAGAACUUGAAGAUGCCCAAAGAGAGUUACAAUGCUCCCUCCAGUCAGGUCGAGCCCAAAGAGAACGCAUGGAGCAAACGUUUCUUGAAGAAAUGAUAGGUGAUCAGCCUCCUGAGAGAGCGCCAUCACUUCCUUCCAAACCAACUCUUAAGUAUCUCUCUCAGCAUCAUGACAGGACCCUGCUUGACCCUGAGAGGUCAUCCUUAAACCAAGAGUCCUACUCUCCUCCUCAUGAUGGUUUUUUACCAUUUCCCUCAGACAGGGAUCUUGACAAAAUUGCUCGCAUCAUAGCACGCUUUGAACCUGAGCACCAAGGUGCUACUGACACCUGCACCUACUUGAAAGACAUUGACUUUUACCUGCGGAAAUUUCCAGGUGCAACCGUUGAUGACAAAAUCUACCUUAUUAAGGCGACGUCAAGUCGAGAGGUUAGCAGUUUCCUAGAACGACAGCCUUAUCAUGUCAGAAAUAAUUAUGACUUGCUCUGCCAAGCAUUAAUUGAAGAGUUUUCUGACUAUUUGACCCAGACAGGCCUCUCUGCUGCUCUGUCUAUUAAACAAGGGAGAUCAGAACCUCCCCAACAUUAUUACAACCGCUUACGCGAAGCUUACUUUGGUUUCCGAAAUGAACCAGAAAUGGAGGAGGACUUGAACUUCAAAACGCUGUUCGUCCAGAACCUCCACCCUACCACCAGUCAUCACCUUGGCGUCUUAGCUUGUCCAAACACUUCGACUAGCCAACAGCUUCGUGAACUUGCUGUAAAAGGUUUUGCCAAACAACGACAAACUUUGGCUAAGAAAGCAGAGCCCGUUACUCUCUUGGCUAUGGAGACAAAAUCACUGCCCAUGGAGCUGAACGAAGCUUCAGACUGUGUUUUUUCAGGCUCCGAUAAGCCUCCAAAUGAGUGGUUAACCAGGCCUCCAAAACCUUUUCGACCUCAACAAACUCACAAAGGUCAAAGUUACACACCAAGGCCCAGGUCUGACCCAGACCAAUGCCAGGUAAACUUUGAGACCAACUGUUGUUAUUCAGACUCCCGUCACGGUGGGUUUUAUCCCAGACAAAGGAAAAACCAUCAACACCGCCAAAGUGGGGUGAAUGACUGGCAGAAUCAGAGUAAAUCACACUCUCAGAAACGACGAUCUUAUUAUCCACCUCAAUCGGUUUCAUCCACUUUGAAGGUGAAUAAACAUGACUACUCAGCUAACCACUGAGAUUAACACUGUGGAGUCAUGAAGGUGUGAGUCCUGCGAAAGCAGAAGUCACCUAGCCAAAGCUAAAUGACUCCAAUAAGAUAUCCAAAUGCUGUGGUGAUACAUUGAUGACUGCAAUACCAGUUGCUGCUUUCUUUGUUAGCAUUUGUCUCUCCUCUG